UUGAUAAGGCGUUUGCUGCAGUUGCUAGAUUUGAUAUUCUUAGAGCCGUUUUGACCGUCUUGAGUUUAGCUACAUAUGUCCAAUAUUUAUGAAUUUGAUAUAAAAGUAGCUUUCCAAAUAAUUUUUAUGAUGGGAAAGUAUAUAUUAAGCAACCACAAGAUUAUAAAAUUGAAGGAUAAGAGAAAAAGAUUUAUAAUUUAAGAAAAUACUUUAUGGGCUGAAGCAAAUAGCUAGGGUAUAGCAUAGGAAUAUUGAUGCAUACUUUGCUCAAAAUAGAUUUCAUUUUAAUGAAAGU
rnacentral:lncRNA from 1 species